UCCGAAUUGGUGUAGUGGCUAACAUUUGACGCUCUCAUGGUUUCCAAAAUAAUCUGAAAACCGUCAAGCCCGGGGUUCGAUUCCCCGAUUCGGAG